GCUUACGGCCAUACCACCCUGAGCACGCCCGAUCUCGUCCGAUCUCGGAAGCUAAGCAGGGUCGGGCCUGGUUAGUACUUGGAUGGGAGACCGCCUGGGAAUACCAGGUGCUGUAAGCUUUU
rnacentral:rRNA from 1 species